rnacentral:rRNA from 1 species
UACGUAGGGUGCGAGCGUUAAUCGGAUUUACUGGGCGUAAAGCGAGCGCAGGCGGUUCUUUAAGUCUGAUGUGAAAGCCCCCGGCUCAACCGGGGAGGGUCAUUGGAAACUGGAGAACUUGAGUGCAGAAGAGGAGAGUGGAAUUCCACGUGUAGCGGUGAAAUGCGUAGAUAUGUGGAGGAACACCGGUGGCGAAAGCGGCUCUCUGGACUGUCACUGACACUGAGGCUCGAAAGCGUGGGUAGCAAACAGG